GUCUGCUGAACAAACAAACCAGUCCUAGCCUAGUGAGUCGCUCUUCGCUUGACUUUCUCUAGCGUCGAUAUGUCGCAACAACAACGUGACAUUUGACAAAGAAGCUAGAAAUGAAGCCUGCACAACUGAACUAAAUCAAGUGCUCUAACAAAGCGACCUCCGGCCGACGAGGGCCUAGCGGGCUCUGGGACGCUUCCCCGCCACCGAGUCGGCCUCGUUCCGGUCACGUGCGCGAUGAGACUUUAUAAAUGCCGUGAGUCUGCGUUGGCGCCUUUUAUAACAUUCGUGCCGUGGACAAAGAAGAGUCGAGACGCUCAGGAGGAGAUGGUGUCGGUUAGGGAGACUGAAAUGCUGGAGUGCAGAGAGUGGACACACUAAGAAAAGAGUUGCCUGGACGCUCACGCCUUUCGGACUGAAGACACAAUAAGGAGAGCACAGGUCAAAAACGGCAAACAUCUUUCACGUUCUGAAAUGCCUUCAUUAAAAUGGAGCGUUCUGAUGCUUGAGGACAUCUGAAGCCCUUCUAGAGACUUUUACCAGACUAUCUCCUUUUCUGCUAAAUUUAAAAAGAGGCAAUAUGAAGGGAAAUUUUUAAAUACAAGUCCCCUUUACAUAAGGAUGGUUUUAUUACUAUAACUCUAUAUAAAUGAAACAUCUGGAUGCGGCCACGGCUACCACUUUGCAAAAGCGUCUUAAUGAGAGAUCGUCAGUGAUCUUGUCUGAUUGUAAUAAAUGGCAGACACGCAAGGAUAAGAUGAUUUGAAGCGUUGUGUGUUGUAGCAGGAGGUGCCAAGCAGGAAGUGGACUGACUCGGCCUUCACUUAAUGUGUUCAGACAUUGGGCUGCAAAUCUGUCUUUGGCAAUCUGAAGUGCAACCCCCUGCUGUGUCGCUUCAAAUCAAGUAUUGGAGAAGAGAGGAGGGUGCAGUCAGAGCACUGAAAUGUCUACUGUUGGUUGGAGGAGGAAGAGUGCUACAGUCCUGUGAUUACACAUCCGGUUUGCUUUAAUUCUCUUUGAGAUGCGUCAGGAACUGAACUGGAGAGACGGCUUGUGGCCAACUGAAUUGAGUGGAUGUUGGUGUGCCUCUUAUUGUUUGUUUGUUUGUUGUCUUUGAGAUGCUCUCAAUCCAUCAAUACAUUUUCUAUCCCAGGUUUCACAGUUCAUUGUCAUGGGGUUCAGUGCCUUAACCAGUGCACAAGGUGGGCACUGUAUUACUCCGUGCCUUCCAUAUUCUCAUUGUCCUCUCUAUUCUCCCAGCAGUGAAGAAUUGGGGAUCUCAUGGAGAUCCUGGUUUUAUAACAGUGCUUAGUAAAGUUGAACAAGAACACAAAGGAACCAAAAUGCUUUAUUCUGUCGCCUUCAAAAUAAGGGCUUGUUAGGCUACAGAGGAUGCGGGUAUGAUGAUGAACCCCACUACUUCUGGUAGCCCCAUUUCUUGUGUAGGAUUGGGGUUGGGACUUCCAGGAUGAUCCAGAAGUUAGUUUGGCGCUCUUCUGUGGGCUGCUUCUCCAUUUUUGGGCUAGAAAAUGGGGGAGAGCGUUCUAGUGGUUUCAUCCAAUCCCAUCCCCAGUUUCAGCUCUUGCACAGAGCCUGCAGCACACUCCAGUAGCGUGACACUAUCUGGUUUGACUGCUUGUGCUUUACCUGACAUGAAUCAUUUCUUUUUAUCCUCCGUGUUACAUAACUGACACUUAUGUGUGUGUGUAUAUAUGUAUGUGUAUGUAUAAAAUAUAAUAUACGCAUGCACGCACACGUGUCAAAAGCUAGACUGUUUAAAAGCAGAAGAGUUUUUGCACGUCCUGCUCAUUGAUGAUUUGAUGACAAUCAGUGACCGAUGGUUCAGUCUAGAGUGGACUGAACAUUUGAUCUUAUUAACAUAGAAAAACCUUAAAAAAAAAAAAAA